rnacentral:lncRNA from 1 species
UGAUGCAUCCUUGGUGGCUUGACGAGGCUCCCUCAGGCCAUCUCCUGUUCUUUUUGUGGGUGUGUGUGUGUGUGUGAUACUCCUAUUUUACGUAAUAGCAUAUUAUAAUCAAAUAAUGUAACUACAGAGUUUUCUAUAGCAUUAUUUUUAGAGACUGUUUAGUUUUUCAUUAUAUUCAUUGAAGUAACCACUAUUAUGAUUUUGCCCUGGCUUUUGCUAGCACGUGAGUUUUACAGGUGCGCUUAUAGC